rnacentral:rRNA from 1 species
AGCAGCCGCGGUAAUUCCAGCUCCAAUAGCGUAUAUUAAAGUUGUUGCAGUUAAAAAGCUCGUAGUUGAAUUUCGGGAUCAGUAGGUCGGUCGUGCCACUGGUAUGAACUGGUCUCACUGGUUCCUCCCUCUUGACGAACUGCAAUGCUAUUAAUUUAGUGUAGUAGGAAAUCAGGACUGUUACUUUGAAAAAAUUAGAGUGUUUAAAGCAGGCUUUGGCUUGAAUACGUUAGCAUGGAAUAAUGAAAUAGGACGUUCGAUCCUAUUUUGUUGGCUUCUAGGAUUGACGUAAUGAUUAAUAGGGACAGUUGGGGGCAUUAGUAUUCAAUUGUCAGAGGUGAAAUUCUUGGAUUUAUUGAAGACUAACUACUGCGAAAGCAUUUGCCAAGGAUGUUUUCAUUAAUCAAGAACGAAAGUUAGGGGAUCGAAGACGAUCAGAUACCGUCGUAGUCUUAACCAUAAACUAUGCCGACUAGGGAUCGAGUGUAGUAGUUAGUUUUUAAAUUUUUAGUAGUACACU